CCAUAUUUAAUGUGUCAGAAGCUAAGCAAGUCCGGUUGAACUGAAUAAAGCGAAAACCUACAAAGUGCACAGUUCGUUCUCUCUUACACACACACACACACACACACACACACACACACUAAUAUAUUUGGGACACAUGUAGGCACCAUGAACAACGUCAAUCUUCGAUUAGGAGCUUUUAUUUUAUCAUCAAGUGAUGUCCGCUUUGGUCGCCAGGGGGCAUCAUUUAGUUUGUUAUGACUUUUGCAACCUCUGUUUUAGUAAAUCCGAAUUUGUUGAAUACAUCUAGGAAUAUUUAAUCAAUUUACGACCUAAAUUCUAAUAUUUCUUCCAUACAUUUUUAUUAAUUUAUUACCAACAUUUGUACCGUUUCUCUUGCUGCACCGCUUCCAGUCCAUGUACUGUAUGUUGUAUUUUGUUUUUAUCCAAUCAAAUUUCAACCUCCAUGUGGCUGACGUGUAACUCUUAACUAGUUUCUGACUGUUUCUUUAACCCAGUUAUGUCAAACUCAAUCCGUCCCGCGAUAUCAUUAUAUAUCAAAUGUGUAUUAGUGCUUGCCUGCCAGCAUUUUGCGCAUGUGCCACUAAUACUACAAAUCCCAGAAUGCUUUGCUAGUACGUUGGCGCGUCACUCGUGAUCUACUCCAGGGUGUUCCACGAACAAGUGUGUGUGUUAGCUGUGUUCAGUGUGACGGGUAAAAAUACAGAGAGCAAAUUUCGUUCAUGACAAUAAAGCUGAUUCUUCUUCUUUCGAGAGAGCAGUUCCAAGUGUAUGCGCCCCGUCCCACGUCGAUUGCGCAAACCUGGCCGAUCGUCAAUGGCGGUGGGCGACCGCCUAUAUGGCCCAUACCAGAAACCACCCCUGACGGCAUCUACCGCAAUUUGGAUGUGUGAAAAGAUUGUCUCAUUGCAAGAAGAAGAAGAGUAAGCGAACCUGCUUGGUGGCGUGCGUGCUGAGACACUUGUUGAGCUCCAAAGUGUUCUUGUCGCACAAGCUGCCGCAGGCCGAGCCGUCCACCAGGCCCCGUCUGUAUUUGGCGCACUGAAAACAACGGCAACAAAGACGCUGGCUAAAGAAGCCCGCGGGAACAAAUCUCGCCAAUGUCUUUUUGUUUGCUUCACCGUGUCCGCGGUGCACCGGCGUCCCCGGCACAGCUCGGAGCGGGACGAGUACUCCGCGUAGACCACCCAGCUGCCCGCCAGCACCGCCAGCCAGCACAGCAGCAAACACUUCAGGUGCGCCGACGUCAAGCGCGCCUGCGCACACACACACACACGCACACACAAACACACACACACACACACACACAGCUUCCUCAAGGCUUACAACCCUACUUUGAUACUCAAAACAGUUUCAAAACAGUUUCAAAAAACGCUGAUUUGAAACCCCAAUUUUAAAACCCUAACACUUACUUGAAACGCUAACUCUGGCUUGACACUCCCCUCUUGUUUGAAACUUUAAUCAAGGGUUAAAACUCUACUAUGAAACUCCAAACAAGGCUUGAAACUCUCAUUUCAAGCUUUGGCCCUGACUUGAAACUCUCAUUUAAAACCCUAUCCCAGGCUUGAAACCCUAAUUUGAAACCCAUCUCAAACCCUGUCUUAAAACCUUACUUACAAACCCUAGCUCUGGCUUGAAACCCCAAUUUGAAACCUUAGCCCUUGUUGGAAAUCUUAACCCUGACUUGAAACCCUCAUUUGAAACCCUAACCCAGAUUUGACAGCCUAAUUUGAACCUCCAACUCUGUCUUUAAACCCUAAGUUGAAACCCUAUCUCUGGCUUGAAACCCUAUCCCGUGCACCGUACGCGCUACAUUAACCUGGCGCACGUUGGCUGGUUUUUCCUCGCGUCGCCACGGAAGACCGCGAUCGAUGCUUGUGGCCUUCAGUGCGCAUUCAGCUGCCUUCGUGCGACCGCCACAAAUCGCAUAUUGAUUAUUAUAUAGCCGGUGCUUGUAUAAAUGGAGUGCAUUUGUUCUACAGUAUUUGAUGGUUUUUACGGUGUAUUUGUCGGAUAAAAUGAAUCGCCCUCUGUCGGCGUGAACGCUGUCCCUAAUGAAGUGUCCAUUUGAAAUGUUGGAGGUGAUGAAGACGAGCAGCGCGUUUGGACGUUCAUACAUUAUGGAUGACGAUAAAGCGCAGCGCUUAAUGGGCUCCCAAUGGAAACACGGAGGAGGAAGGGUGGAGGGGUUAUUUGGGGGUGGGGCUUCAGGAAGUGAUGUUAUUUAUGGGAAAAAUAGUAGUGCAAAUAUUCCAGUUAAAUAAUCUUUGUAAGAAUAUAGCUUCUGUUAUUUGCUUUGAAAAUAAUAAUAAUAAUAAAUCAAUGCUCUGGCCAAAGCAAUACAAUUAUUACUUUGGCGCCAUCUUGUGGGGUCUUGCCACCAAGGAACGAUGUUGAAGAUCGCUAAGGGGCUUCAUUUAGACAAAGCUAGUGGUUGGACACCAUCUGGUUGCCAAGGACCGAUGUUGAAGUGAGUUAAGGAGUUUCAUUUGGCCAAAACUACUGCUUUCCUGCUGUCUAGUGGCAUCCUGGUGUCCACUGAAUUGAGGAGUUUCAUUUUGACAAAAACAGUGCUUUGCCGCCAUCUUGUGGCAUCUUCGAGCAAAGGAAUUAUGUUGACAUGAGUUGAGGGGCUUCAUAUAGACAAACGUAGAGGUUUGACGGCAUCUUGUUGCCAAGGAACGAUGUUGAAGUCAGUUAAGGAGUUUCAUUUGGACAAAAGUAGUGCUUAGCCGCCAUCCUGUAGCAUCUUGGCGGAGAGGAGCUAUGUUAAAGUGGGUUGAGGAGUUUCCUUUAGAAAAAAGUAGUGUUUUGCUGCCUUCUUGUGGAAUCCUGGUGUCAAAUAAAUAUGUUAAAGUGAAUUGAUGCGUUUCAUCUGGACAAAAGCAU